UACGUAGGGGGCUAGCGUUGCUCGGAAUCACUGGGCGUAAAGGGCGCGUAGGCGGGCCUUUAAGUCAGGGGUGAAAUCCUGGAGCUCAACUCCAGAACUGCCUUUGAUACUGUAGGUCUUGAGUUCGGGAGAGGUGAGUGGAACUGCUAGUGUAGAGGUGAAAUUCGUAGAUAUUCGCAAGAACACCAGUGGCGAAGGCGGCUCACUGGCCCGAUACUGACGCUGAGGCACGAAAGCGUGGGGAGCAAACAGG
rnacentral:rRNA from 1 species